AAAUUGAAGAGUUUGAUCAUGGCUCAGAUUGAACGCUGGCGGCAGGCCUAACACAUGCAAGUCGAACGGUAACAGGAAGCAGCUUGCUGCUUUGCUGACGAGUGGCGGACGGGUGAGUAAUGUCUGGGAAACUGCCUGAUGGAGGGGGAUAACUACUGGAAACGGUAGCUAAUACCGCAUAAUGUCGCAGGACCAAAGAGGGGGACCUUCGGGCCUCUUGCCAUCAGAUGUGCCCAGAUGGGAUUAGCUUGUUGGUGAGGUAACGGCUCACCAAGGCGACGAUCCCUAGCUGGUCUGAGAGGAUGACCAGCCACACUGGAACUGAGACACGGUCCAGACUCCUACGGGAGGCAGCAGUGGGGAAUAUUGCACAAUGGGCGCAAGCCUGAUGCAGCCAUGCCGCGUGUAUGAAGAAGGCCUUCGGGUUGUAAAGUACUUUCAG
rnacentral:rRNA from 1 species